GGAGGCAUAGCUCAGUAGGGAGAGCGUUCGCUUCACACGCGAGAGGUCAUGGGUUCGAGCCCCCUUGUCUCCA
rnacentral:tRNA from 1 species